CCGCGAGCGGACGCGGCAGCGCCUCUGUCUCGCUUUUUCUUAUUUUUCCCCCCUUUCCCCUUUCUUUUUUUUUUUUUCUUUUCUUUUCUCCCCUCCCCCCCUUUCACCAUUUCCCCUCGGAGGCGCUUUCCCCGGGCAGGGGCAGAGCCGGUCUCACCCCCCGCCUCUCCCCGGCCCCCGCCGCCCUAUGGCGAGAGGGAGCCCCCUCCCAACCCGGGCUCGAGCGGCGGCGGCCUCAGGCCGGGGGUCAUCAUGGAACUAAUUCGCUGACCGACCCAGCGGCCGCAGCCGUGCGUCCCGCUCGAGCGCCAGCGCCCGCGCCCGCGCCCCCCGAUCCGCUUCCCCUUUCUCCCUCCUCAGUUGGCCGAGUCGUCCCGCGCGCACCGCCUCCGCGCGCCUAUGAGAAUGAGGUGGUAACGGGCCCCCGGAUGACCCCGCGUCACCACUGUGAGGCCUACAGCUCUGCCGGGGAGGAGGAGGAGGAGGAAGAGGAGGAGAAGGUAGCUACAGCAAGCUGGGUAGCAGGCAGAUCCAAAGGAUAUCAUGAAGUUUCCAGGGCCUUUGGAAAACCAGAGAUUGUCUUUCCUGUUGGAAAAGGCAAUCACUAGGGAAGCACAGAUGUGGAAAGUGAAUGUGCGGAAAAUGCCUUCAAAUCAGGCUCAUCCAAAAUACUUGAGUUGUAUUGCAAUCAGCUGUUUUUUCCUAGCUGCCAAGACUGUUGAGGAAGAUGAGAGAAUUCCAGUACUAAAGGUAUUGGCAAGAGACAGUUUCUGUGGAUGUUCCUCAUCUGAAAUUUUGAGAAUGGAGAGAAUUAUUCUGGAUAAGUUGAAUUGGGAUCUUCACACAGCCACACCAUUGGAUUUUCUUCAUAUUUUCCAUGCCAUUGCAGUGUCAACUAGGCCUCAGUUACUUUUCAGUUUGCCCAAAUUGAGCCCAUCUCAACAUUUGGCAGUCCUUACCAAGCAACUACUUCACUGUAUGGCCUGCAACCAACUUCUGCAAUUCAGAGGAUCCAUGCUUGCUCUGGCCAUGGUUAGUCUGGAAAUGGAGAAACUCAUUCCUGAUUGGCUUUCUCUUACAAUUGAACUGCUUCAGAAAGCACAGAUGGAUAGCUCCCAGUUGAUCCAUUGUCGGGAGCUUGUGGCACAUCACCUUUCUACUCUGCAGUCUUCCCUGCCUCUGAAUUCCGUUUAUGUCUACCGUCCCCUCAAGCACACCCUGGUGACCUGUGACAAAGGAGUGUUCAGAUUACAUCCCUCCUCUGUCCCAGGCCCAGACUUCUCCAAGGACAACAGCAAGCCAGAAGUGCCAGUCAGAGGUACAGCAGCCUUUUACCAUCAUCUCCCAGCUGCCAGUGGGUGCAAGCAGACCUCUACUAAACGCAAAGUAGAGGAAAUGGAAGUGGAUGACUUCUAUGAUGGAAUCAAACGGCUCUAUAAUGAAGAUAAUGUCUCAGAAAAUGUGGGUUCUGUGUGUGGCACUGAUUUAUCAAGACAAGAGGGACAUGCUUCCCCUUGUCCACCUUUGCAGCCUGUUUCUGUCAUGUAGUUUCAACAAGUGCUACCUUUGAGUGUAAACUAAGGUAGACUACUUUGGGAAUGAGAACAUGCAAAAUCAGGAAAGGCUGUAGAAGGAAAUAUACCUUAACAGGCUGAUUUGGAGUGAGCCAGAAAAAAAAAAUAAAACUCUCAUUAUUUGUGUGGCUAAUUAUAAUUCAGCGUUAUUUAAGCACAUAAAGA
rnacentral:lncRNA from 1 species